ACGAGCGCAACCCCUAUCCUUAUUUGCCAGCGCGUUAUGGCGGGAACUCUAAGGAGACUGCCGGUGAUAAACCGGAGGAAGGUGGGGACGACGUCAAGUCAUCAUGGCCCUUACGGGAUGGGCUACACACGUGCUACAAUGGCANGUACAGAGGGCAGCAAUACCGCGAGGUGGAGCGAAUCCCACAAAGCUUGUCGUAGUCCGGAUUGGAGUCUGCAACUCGACUCCAUGAAGUCGGAAUCGCUAGUAAUCGUAGAUCAGAAUGCUACGGUGAAUACGUUCCCGGGCCUUGNACACACCGCCCGU
rnacentral:rRNA from 1 species